rnacentral:rRNA from 1 species
UACGAAGGGGGCAAGCGUUAUUCGGAAUGACUGGGUGUAAAGGGCGCGUAGGCGGUUGAGUAAGUUUCGUGUUUAAUCUUUCGGCCUAACUGAAAGCUUGCAUAAAAUACUGCUUGACUAGAGUGCGGUAGAGAAAAAUGGAAUUCUUGGAGUAGCGGUCAAAUGCGUAGAUCUCAAGAGGAACGCCAAUGGCGAAGGCAGUUUUUUGGAACGCUACUGACGCUGAGGCGCGAAGGCAUGGGGAGCAAACAGG